rnacentral:tRNA from 2 species
GCCUACGUAGCUCAGGCGGCAGAGCACUUCCUUGGUAAGGAAGAGGUCCCGAGUUCGAAUCUCGGCGUAGGCUCCA